rnacentral:rRNA from 1 species
GUGGGUAAAGGCCUACCAAGACAAUGAUGCAUAGCCGAGUUGAGAGACUGAUCGGCCACAUUGGGACUGAGACACGGCCCAAACUCCUACGGGAGGCUGCAGUAGGGAAUCUUCCACAAUGGGCGAAAGCCUGAUGGAGCAACGCCGCGUGUGUGAUGAAGGCUUUCGGGUCGUAAAGCACUGUUGUAUGGGAAGAAAAGUUAAGGUAGGGAAUGACCUUAGCCUGACGGUACCAUACCAGAAAGGGACGGCUAAAUACGUGCCAGCAGCCGCGGUAAUACGUAUGUCCCGAGCGUUAUCCGGAUUUAUUGGGCGUAAAGCGAGCGCAGACGGUUGGUUAAGUCUGAUGUGAAAGCCCGGAGCUCAACUCCGGAAAGGCAUUGGAAACUGGUUAACUUGAGUGCAGUAGAGGUAAGUGGAACUCCAUGUGUAGCGGUGGAAUGCGUAGAUAUAUGGAAGAACACCAGCGGCGAAGGCGGCUUACUGGACUGUAACUGACGUUGAGGCUCGAAAGUGUGGGUAGCAAACAGGAUUAGAUACCCUGGUAGUCCACACCGUAAACGAUGAACACUAGGUGUUAGGAGGUUUCCGCCUCUUAGUGCCGAAGCUAACGCAUUAAGUGUUCCGCCUGGGGAGUACGACCGCAAGGUUGAAACUCAAAGGAAUUGACGGGGACCCGCACAAGCGGUGGAGCAUGUGGUUUAAUUCGAAGCAACGCGAAGAACCUUACCAGGUCUUGACAUCCUUUGAAGCUUUUAGAAAUAGAAGUGUUCUCUUCGGAGACAAAGUGACAGGUGGUGCAUGGUCGUCGUCAGCUCGUGUCGUGAGAUGUUGGGUUAAGUCCCGCAACGAGCGCAACCCUUAUUGUUAGUUGCCAGCAUUCAGAUGGGCACUCUAGCGAGACUGCCGGUGACAAACCGGAGGAAGGCGGGGACGACGUCAGAUCAUCAUGCCCCUUAUGACCUGGGCUACACACGUGCUACAAUGGCGUAUACAACGAGUUGCCAACCUGCGAAGGUGAGCUAAUCUCUUAAAGUACGUCUCAGUUCGGACUGCAGUCUGCAACUCGACUGCACGAAGUCGGAAUCGCUAGUAAUCGCGGAUCAGCACGCCGCGGUGAAUACGUUCCCGGGUCUUGUACACACCGCCCGUCACACCAUGGAAGUUUGUAAUGCCCAAAGCCGGUGGCCUAACCGUAAGGAGGGAACCGUCUAAGGC